AGUCGCGGGUUCAAAUCCCGUUUCCCGCUCCAAAUUUUAAGACCGGCUUUCGAGCCGGUCUUUUUUUGUUUUGAUC
rnacentral:misc_RNA from 1 species